rnacentral:rRNA from 1 species
GGUUUUCGGAUCGUAAAACUCUGUUGUUAGGGAAGAACAAGUACCGUUCGAAUAGGGCGGUACCUUGACGGUACCUAACCAGAAAGCCACGGCUAACUACGUGCCAGCAGCCGCGGUAAUACGUAGGUGGCAAGCGUUGUCCGGAAUUAUUGGGCGUAAAGCGCGCGCAGGCGGUUCCUUAAGUCUGAUGUGAAAGCCCACGGCUCAACCGUGGAGGGUCAUUGGAAACUGGGGAACUUGAGUGCAGAAGAGGAGAGCGGAAUUCCACGUGUAGCGGUGAAAUGCGUAGAGAUGUGGAGGAACACCAGUGGCGAAGGCGGCUCUCUGGUCUGUAACUGACGCGGAGGCGCGAAAGCGUGGGGAGCAAACAGGAUUAGAUACCCCGGUAGUCCACGCCGUAAACGAUGAGUGCUAAGUGUUAGAGGGUUUCCGCCCUUUAGUGCUGCAGCUAACGCAUUAAGCACUCCGCCUGGGGAGUACGGUCGCAAGACUGAAACUCAAAGGAAUUGACGGGGGCCCGCACAAGCGGUGGAGCAUGUGGUUUAAUUCGAAGCAACGCGAAGAACCUUACCAGGUCUUGACAUCCUCUGACAACCCUAGAGAUAGGGCGUUCCCCUUCGGGGGACAGAGUGACAGGUGGUGCAUGGUUGUCGUCAGCUCGUGUCGUGAGAUGUUGGGUUAAGUCCCGCAACGAGCGCAACCCUUGAUCUUAGUUGCCAG